rnacentral:rRNA from 1 species
ACACGACUACAUUAGAUACCCGUGUAGUCCCAGCCGUAAACUAUGCUCGCUAGGUGUCAGGGACGGUGCGACCGUUUCUGGUGCCGCAGGGAAGCCGUGAAGCGAGCCACCUGGGAAGUACGUCCGCAAGGAUGAAACUUAAAGGAAUUGGCGGGGGAGCACCGCAACGGGAGGAGCGUGCGGUUCAAUUGGAUUCAACGCCGGACAACUCACCAGGAGCGACGGUUACAUGAAGGCCAGGCUGAUGACCUUGCCUGAUUUUCCG